UGAUGACUAAAGUUUUUGCUUUCAGAAGUAACCACUUUGAAAUGGUACCUUUUUGUAUUUGAACAUCUUGGUAUUAUUACAUAGUGGUUGCAUUAUUUUAUAGAUUUCUGCAGGCUUAUGUUUGAGGUAUUGAUGUUUUAACUAGAUCAUAUGUUUUUAAUUUAAUUUCUUGGGGCAUCUCAAAAAUAAGGAAAGGAAAAGAACCACCCGGUUGGAUGUAGUUUAAAGAAAAAUUAUCACAUAAUAUAUAUCCUAGUUUUAACAAUAAUCCAAGUUAUUUUAGUCUAUGAUGAGCAGUUUCUAAUUCUAAAAAUUCAUAUAUGAUACAUCAAAGAUCAGGGAAGAGAAAAGAGAGGUGUCUAAGUAUUUUACUCUCAAUAGGUCUUAAAUUUACAAUAUAUUUCAAGUAUAUGCUAGCCUGAGUUCUGGGAAAGUGACUCAAUGCACCUUUAUGCAGACUGGUUUUCUGACAAGUUCUGACCAUUGGUUAAAUGUAUUGGUUGAACAGUCCUAAUCUUGAAAGAAUCCUAGGGACAAAAUUUCAGUGAAUAUUUUAUUAAAUGUGCAUAUGGUCAUUUCUUUAAGCAUCCCUUUUCCUAUGACACAUUUUUAUAAAAAGUUAAAAAGCAAAACCAAUAAUAAAAAUAUAUUGUAGAAUAUAGUUCUUUCAGAGUUAUAUCUGUGUUGGUAUUCCAGCCAAUAUGAAGUUCAAAAGCAUUAAGGUACAUCAUAGGGAAAAGUAAUUGGAUGGAUUUAUUGUUCCAAGUGCCCAGCAUUUACUCUGACAUACAGAAUUUCCUAAAAUUUCUUAAAAUUCAAUGCAUAUUAUGACUUACCAAAUUUCCUGUAAGGUAUAUAUUAUUCCUUUGGUGAAAAUGAAUGUUCUAUAAAAAGCCCAUUAAGAUGGCAUCUCUGAAAGUCUGAGAACAAUUUGAUGUUCAGAGUAAGAGUUCUUCAGUUCAUAUUCCAUGUACCUACCGUCGUGUGAGAGAAUUCUUGGGGCUGAUUAUUCCACUGGUCACAAUGACUCCUGCCAAUUAGGUGACAAAUGCAGGAGGGAGCAAGAAAUCUCAACUCUUAUAUAUACUGGAGUGGAUUUCUGUGAUAAUAAAGAUAUGUCCUGUAUUCAUGGCCAACUUUGUUUGGUGGGAUUGGGAACAACCGGACAGUGUGGUAUGUAUUUUAUCCAUUUUUUAACUCCCAGAAUUGCAAGCCUCACAAUAGUGUUAGGUUAGUAAAUAUUUAGGGGGUGUGGAUAUGAAUGCUAUUUGGUCUUUUGCCUUCAUGUAUUUGCUGUUUUUAUCCAGCAGUGAGGCUCCUUUUUUUCCUGCCUGUUAAAAUCAUUCCUUCCCUUUUCAUGUCUUCCAUGAAACUUGGGGAAAAAAAAAUCUCCUCAGUGAAAUUCAGUACUAAAUUUUGGGGAUCGUUUCUUUGUGACUUUCAUCAUAGUUAUGUACCAUCUUAACCUUCACUUCCUACUCCUUCAGGACUGGGUUGUGUGUCCUUAAGCUACUGAAGUUACUUUCUACUGAAGUUACUUUCAACCCUUAAAUACCAAGAUUUUGUGAUUAUCUCUGUCUCCUCUAAUAGCUUAUCCAUUAUAGGUUUUUCACAAGUGUUUGCUCUUCCUAAAGGGGAGUAAAUAUCUCCUCCCCUGUUUGCUCAUUAUUGUUUGUGCCUUUACAUAUAAUAUUUACUAUAUAUUCCUUAUAUAUAGUAUUUGCCUUGAGUUCAUUGCCUUGUUUCUAUCUUUACCACUUGAAUCUUUGAGGAAUAAGUGAUAGAAUUGCUUAUAUUUAUAUUCUUCUGUUCCCUGACCUAGAUCUAAAUUUUACUAAAUCAUUUGGAUGAAUUAAUUUAUCAACUAGAAAUUGAUCUAACAUAUUUCUGGGUGAAAUGAUUCAUGGAAUGGUACAAAGUAUCAAUUGAACAAUCCCUGGAAAAAAUACCUCUUUAGAUGAAGAAAUAGUGUUUGAGAUAUUCAGAAAAAGAAUAUCUGUAGAUUGUAGAAAUUUAACUUACUCUUUCUAUAUUUCUUGAAAAUGUGUCCUAUUGGAUUAUAAUCUCUUUGAGGGUAGGAUUGCAUUUGCACCACUUCUUUGUAACUUUUAUCAUAGAUGUAACUUUAUAUGUACAUAUAUAUAUAAAUUACAGUUUAUACAAAUUACUUAUAUGUAAUUAUUUUGUUAUGACUAAAUGCACUGGUAUUUUUUUUGAAUUUCAGCCUGAAAUAGGUUUUAUUUUUAAUUUUUUCUUAAUUUUUUUAUUGGGGUUCAAUUUGCCAACAUAUAGCAUAACACUGCACUGGUAUUUUAUAUCACCAAGAAAAGCCAUUUCUGAGCCUUGUAAUAUUUUUUUUUUUUUUUUUUUAAUAAUUUUUUUUAUUUAUUUAUGAUAGUCACAGAGAGAGAGAGAGAGAGAGGCAGAGACUCAGGCAGAGGGAGAAGCAGGCUCCAUGCACCGGGAGCCCGAUGUGGGAUUCAAUCCCGGGUCUCCAGGAUCGCGCCCUGGGCCAAAGGCAGGCGCCAAACCGCUGCGCCACCCAGGGAUCCCUGAUCCUUGUAAUAUUUUAGCAGACUCUUAUAUGGAGUGAUUUCAAAUAAUUUUUUAUGCCUAUGAAAUAUUUACAAUUUUUCUGGACACAUACCUUGCGUGUUAUAGAACCAUCUGAAAGAAUGAAAGUGCCAUUAAUACUUCCAUCACUCUACAAGAAAUGAAAAGGAUACCAACACAUGUGAUCAAAUGCAUGAAUCAUAUUAUUUUUAGAAAUCUGUACAGUAUAGCAAAACUAAAGAAGAAACAAUAAGAACCCACAUCCCUUUAUUUUUGUAUUUUUUUAUAUAUUUUUGUUAAAAUCAAAAUGGUGAUAGAUGGUGAUCAUAAUAUAUCAGUAUUCAGUCUUUCAGGAUCUGUAAAAACAAAACAAAAUACCAUGAGCCAUUAAUUAAAAGUAUGUAAGCUCUUUCUUCUUCCAUUGUUUUUUUUUUUUAAUUUUAUUUAAAUUCCAGUUAGUUAACAUACAGUGUAAUAUUAGUUUCAGGUGUACAAUAUAGUGAUUCAGCACUUCCAUAUGCUACCCAUCCAGUGCUCAUCACAACAAAUGCACUCCUUAAUCCUCAUCAGCUAUCUCACCCAUCCCCCCCACCACGUCCCCUCUGGUGACCAUCAGUUUGUUCUCUGUAGUUAAGAGUCUGUUUCUUGGUUUGCCUCUCUCACUCCUUUCUCCCCCUUUUGUUCUUUUGUCCACAUAUGAGUAAAAUCAUAUGGUUCUUGUCUUUCUCUGACUUAUUUCUCUUAGCAUAGUACUCUCUAGCUCCAUCCAGUUGUUUUACAAUGGCUGAAUGCUAGAAAGAACAUGGAAGCUGGGACUCUUGAGUUAAAUCGAUCUGAGUUUGAAGACUAGUCUGCCAUUUAAAUUUUGUAGUCUUUGGAAAGUCCCAUAAAUUCUCAUAGCUUCAGCUUCCUCAUCUUUAAAGGGAGACAGUGAUAUCAGCUUUACAAGCGUGCUAUGAGUAUUAAAUGAGAAUUAGUACAAGAACAAUUCAGUGUAGUAACAGUGUUGGAACUAUUCUAAAUGUUCUGCAAUUGGUAUCUUUUUAUGUUAUAUAAUUGGGAUAAUUCUCAUUUAUCUUUGUAAUUAGGAUCAACCUGUAUUUAGAAAUAGAGCAAUAUGUGGGGAUCCCUGGGUGGCUCAGCGGUUUAGCACCUGCCUUUCUUUGGCUCAGGGCAUGAUCUUGGGGUCCCAGGAUUGAGUCCUGCAUCAGGCUUCCUGCAUGGAGCCUGCUUCUCCCUCUGCCUAUGACUCGGCCUCUCUCUCUCUCAUAUUUAUUUUAUGAAUAAAUAAAUACAAUCUUUUAAAAAAAUAGAGCAAUAUGUGAUGUACUCCAAUUUCUUUGAUGUUUCUUAAGGAUGAUGUGUAUGUUUCAGUUAGUAUAGCAAGAGAGUUCUUCUUUGGGCUGUGAUUUAGUUUAUAUUUUUAUUCUCAAAAGGCUAAUUGUAAUAUUUGCUAAACUUAUUAGAGUUGGUAAGUCCUGGAAGAAGAAAAGGAGCACUUCUUUAUGUCGAGUCCGCACUUUGUGGGAUUUAAUAUACUUUGAAGUUUAAAUUAACUUUUAUUUACUAAGGCCCUAAUUAUAAGUGAUUAUUUCAGGAAAAUAAAACACAUUUUAGCAUUGGGGACAGAAGGUCAAAUGCAUAUGCAUUAGUGGACUUUUUAACAUAUAUCUUUCUUUUGUAGGAAUUUGCUAGCAUUGGGUUUGUAGAUAUAACUUAUCAACUCAAGAAGACUAAAUUUAGUUUUUUAGGGUUUUUUGUUUGUUUGCUUCUUUUUGAGAGAGAGAGAGAGAGAGAGAAGAAUGGUAGGGGAAUGGCAGAGAAGAGAGAGAGAAUCUUAAACAGGUUCCCUGCCCAGUGUUGAGUACAAUGUGGAUCUCAUCAAGAGUUGGUCACUUAGGGGAUCCCUGGGUGGCGCAGCGGUUUGGCGCCUGCCUUUGGCCCAGGGCGCGAUCCUGGAGACCCGGGAUUGAAUCCCACGCCGGGCUCCCGGUGCAUGGAGCCUGCUUCUCCCUCUGCCUGUGUCUCUACCUCUCUCUCUCUCUCUCUGUGUGACUAUCAUAAAUAAUAAAAUUAAAAAAAAAAAAAAAAGAGUUGGUCACUUAACCAACUGAGCUACCCAGAUGCAAGUUUAGUUUUGAAAUAAAAAAAGAUUAAGAGUUCCUAAUUCAUAUGGCAGAGUUAGAAACUUUUUUUUUUUUUUUUGAUAUGGGAAAAACUACCUGGUCUUAUUUCAACAUGUCUUAAAGUUACUCAUUUAGUUAGAAAAUAUUUUGGAAAAUAUUGUUUACCUUAGUUUGUCUUUGUCUUCUUGUGCUUUGGUGCAUUUGUAAUCUU
rnacentral:lncRNA from 1 species